GAGACUCUUAGAGCAGCAUUAAUUAGAGAUUUCAAAUGGCCAUUGUUAUUUUUAUUGUGCGUAGUUCUAUCCUCCCUUCAGUGCAUGCAUUAUUUUAAAGAGCUAGCCUCGAUCCCAGGCCGAGUUUUCGCUUUUAUAACGGUUAGGCGAACAACUGGGCCUGGUACUAGUUGUCUGCGCAUGCGUCAGUCGUUCGUCAGAUUCUGACGAAUGGAUAUUCUCGUUCACUUUCGUGACAUUUAUAUUCGUGUACUAUCGUGUACUAGAAGUCAGUUCCCGUUUUAUCAUUAUUGGAAUCGAUUGGAAUGGCUCUUAGCUGAAGCUUCUCUCUUCUCUGAAGCUUAUUCUGAAGACUGAACAACAAGGGAAGAGGUAUAAAGCUUUGUCAAGCUUGUUAAGGUCAGAUAUUUUUGUGUGGGCCCUAUGGAUGGCUAUGCUAUCAAGUCUUGUUCAUGUUUGGCAAGAAUGUAGGUAGACUAUAGUUUCAUCAUUAAUAUGGUGGAUCAAGUGAAGAGUUUAAGCUAGAGAACUUGGUGCUGCCAUCAUCAGCUCGUCGACAAUGACACUAUAACCGAGAAAUUUAAUAUGUAUAGAUCUACACGUAUUUAAAAUGUCUACUUCUCUGUACAGGAGCAAUGGCUAAUAUCCAGCUAUCCCAACAGUGCUCCUCUUGGCUAUACUAACGGACGAGACUGGACAGUUUGAGACACAGGACUGGAGUAUGACCUGCUCAUUCGAGCGUUGCUGGGUAGCUCAGAGACAUCAAGAGAAUCUACGUUUUCUCAAGCAAUGAGUUACGAGUUGGGGCCUAGAAUCAGAGAAGUCCAGCAGCCUGCUAAAUCUUUUUGAAACGUAAUUUGAAGGCAUUCAAUCAUCUUGAAGUUGCCCUGGGUCACUGUAAUUGUGCUGCAGCACAACUGGCAACUCCCCAGGCCUUUGUGAAGCAGCUCCCUAUGUGCAUCUUUUGUGUACUCACUCUGUGCAUUUUCUGUGUACAAAUUUCAAUUAUUGAUUUAUUAAAUAUUUUUGCCGACCACAAA